UGGAUAAAAUAGAAAUGGCAUAUGGAAAGGCAAAUCUUUACAUUGUCGGCUGCAUGUAUCUCUAUAAGUGAUACUUUGGAUUUCCAAUCAGCAGAUCAAUGGAUUCCAUCAAGGUGUCCAAAUGAAUGGCACACAAUGCAUAUAGUAGCUAGCUAGCUAUACUUUUGCUGAUGAAAAUGUGGAGGAGGCCGGUGCAUGAAGCUGCCCAGAGGUGUCCAUCUAUAAGGCUAGCUAGGCUUGCUCAUAUGAAGCACCAUGAGAUCUUGGAGGUGAUUUGAUCACUCAAGCUAGCUAGCUUUGGCCUGUUGCUGUGUCUGCAUGCGUGGUGCAUGUUAUCCUGUUAAUAUGUGUGUGUGACCACAGGAGCAAUGAGGUGACACCACUAGGGCCGUGUUCGCCCGAGGCGGUAAGAUAACUUAGCCCCCUCGUUUUCUGCACGAAUGUUUUCUGAAUUGCUAAACGGUGUAUUUUAUGUAAAAAAAUUUAUAGAAAAGUUGUUUUAAAAAAUCAUAUUAAUCUAUUUUAUAUUUUUAAUAAUUAAUAAUUAAUUAAUCAUGUAUUAAUCUAUUACUACGUUUUCUGCGUGGGUAAGUUAAUUUAUCACCCCUUACCCGAACGCUGGCCUAGGUAGAUAAGCUACCCAAGCAUCAAUGUUCAUUGAUGCAUAGCUGCUUCUUUCUUAGUACCCAAGGCAUAAUUGCACCACAAGCUAGCUAGUAAGGAACCCUAGCUUAUUGGCUUAGUUUGUGGCUGUGGUAGUAGUAGUGUUGGUGCUGUGCAAGCUCCUAAGGGACAUGACAACUGCAUGCAUGCAUGGACCUACCACACCCAAAUGAAACCUGCAAGUUGCUUACCAUGCAGGGAUUAUACAUUUGUGGUGCAUAGCUUUGUUACAUAGAUUUUUUUUGUCCCCAUGUGCAGUAUUUUCCGGGCAUCGAAUAAACCGACAAGUUGUGGAUCGACCGAUUGAUAAUUCUUCUUAAAAAUAAAAUGAAGAAAAAUAAAAUCUUCGAGACAGUUUCCAAACCCUGUUGAUCAUGGAUGAGAAUGUGCUAGCUGAAUAAUUCCUUUUGAUCCAGACCCUCACAUAUCUGAUAUCUCUGGUCACCAACUUGGCUGCUUGUGGGCAAUACAUAUUUGUGGCUGGGGUCAAGGUGCAUUGCCCAGUUGCAUUGCAAGCAAGCUGAGGGGUGAAAAAGAUCUAAGCUACAUUAUGCAAAUGUGCAUGGGUUGUUGUAGGGUAUCAACCACAUGGCAAAAGGAGAAUCUCCUCCCCUUCUCCUACCAAAGAUUCAAGAUAGAGAGGGGUAAAAAGGAAGUGUACAUGUGGUUGUGCGCCUUUGGGGAAGUGAAGCUAAGUGGCAUGGCAUAUUGGGUUGCAUAUGCAUGAAUGCACCCUGCUAGUAGUGGCCUCCUGUGUGCUCUGUGCAUGCAACCCAUUUUCAUGUCCUCCUAUCCUGGUUUCUGGUUUUGCACCUAACAUGUAUUCCUCCUUCUAAAGUUUGAAAGGAGCAUGAAUAUGGUGGGUUACAGCAAUAGCCUGCAGCUUGGAGUUGAACAUUCUCGCUUCUGCUUCGUCGAUGCCCCGCUUUCGCGGUUGCUUCCCUCUAUUUAAGGAUAUAUAUUUUUCUUGUUUCUCUAUACCUUUUAUAAUAUGAUUUUAAAACCACAUGUUUGGGAUAUGAAUCUUUUAGACGCAUCAUUUUCAUAGCAGGACAACGAUACCACGCUACUACAAAAGGUGUUAUAGUAUUUAUUCGAUAUAUUAUAAAUACAUCUAAUUUGUUGAAACUAAUGGUACAACUAACUAGAAGAGAUUUUGCCACCUGUAUGUACAACUCGACAUGUCAAAUAUAUUAACACAAAUUGCACUAGAUAUUGUGCCCCAGUACGUACAUAAAACAUAAAGUCCUUUAUGGCAAAACAUCACAGAAAUGCUGGGCUUCCUUUACGAGGUAAAAAGCUUGAGACUGGAACAGUACGUGCCAGGGCUGACAGGACGUCUUAACUAUUUUCCAACUUGUUAUGUUCCAUAUUGAGAACCCUACCUAUAUGCACUGGUUGAAAACCUUCCAAAGUUCCAUAGUUUCUUUUUCUUUUUUUUUGUCAUGUGAAUAAAAAAGGUGUGCAACCAAAUAUAAUAAUAAUAAUUAAAAAAAAGGCUUGACUACGAAUAAUAAAAUUAAUUAAAGCACCUGUGAUGGAGACCAAGAGCAUGACUGGGGUAUAUGCCAAACCAUCUUGUAUGUUAAGCUUCUUGGUUCCAUAUUCUUUUAAAAUUGGGGACACAAAUGAGCCGCUCGUUUUCGGCAUAUCUUAGGCUUUGCAUAUCUUCAAGUAGACAAUAUAAUGUACUAUCCAUAAAGCAAAAUUUGGAUCAUUACAGGCUCUUCUCUCAUUUGCAUGGACCAUCCAUCUUAUCUAUUUAGUGUGUGGGGGUGUGCUUCUUUCUUGCUUGCUUUCUCUAGGGCCAGUGUACAAUUUUCAUGAACCAUUUCCAUUGUUAGGUUCCUGUCAGAACCUUACAUGGUGCAGAGCAAGAAAAGCAUGAAAGGAGAAGGAAAAAUGCAGGGCUGUUUUCUUCCUCUUUGGUUCUGAGCUAUCCAAACAUAUUAGCACGUUUUAAGGUAAUAAAAUGGCAGUGGCAAGUAUCUGCUUGUGAAAGGAACCCAUUUACAAUUGCAUGUCAUGAAUUAAAUGAUGAAAUGAGAAUCUUCACCAUGACUUUAACCUGUAAUCAAAGGAUUUAUCAUCCAAAAAGCUUGAGCUCAAAUCAGAACUUCUACACAUUAAUUUCAGGUUUUACCUACUUCUUGAGCUGUAACAGGUGCAAAAAUGUGUGGCUGUUACUUGUCUGGUUCAGAUUUUAUCCUGUGAUAUCUUGGUUGUAGACUGAGUACACAUAUUCUACCCUACCAAUCUCUCCUCUCACUCCACUCCCAAUACCAAACAGCGCAGAUCUUUUUCCUGGUUGGUGAGGCUGUGGGGCAGUGAUUGUUUCACUGUGACCAAACCCUAGCCUUGUGGUCACAUGGGAAGCACUAUGAGC
rnacentral:lncRNA from 1 species